rnacentral:rRNA from 1 species
CCUACGGGAGGCAGCAGCCGCGGUAAAACGUAGGAGGCGAGCGUUAUCCGGAAUCACUGGGCGUAAAGGGCGUCUAGGCGGCACGACAAGUGAGGUGUGAAAGCUCCUGGCUCAACUAGGAGAGUGCGCUUCAGACUGUCGAGCUUGGAGGGCAGGUGAAGGGGGUGGAAUUCCCGGUGGAGUGGUGGAAUGCGUAGAGAUCGGGAGGAACACCAGUGGCGAAAGCGGCCCCCUGGCCUGUUGCUGACGCUGAAGCGCGAAAGCGUGGGGAGCAAACGGGAUUAGGAACCCGAGUAGUCC